rnacentral:rRNA from 1 species
CCUACGGGUGGCAGCAGUCGAGAAUCUUUCACAAUGGGGGAAACCCUGAUGGUGCGACGCCGCGUGGGGGAAUGAAGGUCUUCGGAUUGUAAACCCCUGUCAUGUGGGAGCAAAUUAAAAAGAUAGUACCACAAGAGGAAGAGACGGCUAACUCUGUGCCAGCAGCCGCGGUAAUACAGCGGUCUCAAGCGUUGUUCGGAAUCACUGGGGGUAAAGCGUGCGUAGGCGGGUUGGUAAGUCGGUUGUGAAAGGCGGGGGCUCAACCCGCGGACGGCACAUGAUACUGGGAGACUAGAGUAAUGGAGGGGGAGGCGGAAUUCGCGGUGUAGCAGUGAAAUGCGUAGAUAUCAGGAGGAACACUGGUGGCGAAGGCGGGUUCCUGGACAUUAACUGACGCUGAGGCACGAAGGCGAGGGGAGCGAAAGGGAUUAGAUACCCGAGUAGUC